AUGAAGUUGCUGACUGUGUCCGCAUUUCUUUGUUCAUGAUACUCUGACCAGAGCUGCUGCAAAUAAUCACCAGUUCAGUGGGUCCGCAUCUUGUCCUUGUGGCUGGUCUGAGUUCAAUGGGAGAUGCUUCCUCUUCGUUCCAGCAGACAUGACUUGGGCCAAAGCUGAG